rnacentral:rRNA from 1 species
AUGUAAAGGGUAAACUACAAAGCCAAAAGAAUUACACUCAAUAAGGCGGUGAGCUGAUGCAACACUUUAGCGGAUAUGUUAAAGUGGCAAGCAAGAUAGAAAGAGUGGAUGGUGGAUGCCUUGGCAAAGAGAGGCGAUGAAGGACGCACUAGACUGCGAUAAGCUACGAGGAGCUGUCAAGGAGCUUUGAUUCGUAGAUCUCCGAAUGGGGCAACCCAGCUUAUGGCAACAUAAGCUACUCUAUUUAAUAGAGGGCGAACCUAGCGAAGUGAAACAUCUUAGUAGCUAGAGGAAAAGAAAUCAAGUGAGAUUCCCUAAGUAGUGGCGAGCGAAAGGGGAAAAGGGCAAACCGCGUGCUUGCAUGCGGGGUUGAGGACUACAAGAUUCUAAGAAAAAAUUUAGCAGAAGUGCUUGGAAAAGCAUGCCAUAGAAAGUGAUAGCCUUGUAUGCGAAAAGUUUUUUCAAAGAUAGUAGAAUCCAGAGUAGGUCAGGACACGAGAAAUCCGGGCUGAAGCUGGGGAGACCACUCUCCAACCCUAAAUACUCCUCUUUGACCGAUAGCGCACAAGUACCGUGAGGGAAAGGUGAAAAGAACCGUGGGUAACGGAGUGAAAUAGAACCUGAAACCAUCUACUUACAAUCAUUCAGAGCCCUAUGAUUUAUCAGGGUGAUGGACUGCCUUUUGCAUAAUGAUCCUGCGAGUUGUGGUGUCUGGCAAGGUUAAGUGAAAACGAGCCGUAGCGAAAGCGAGUCUGAAUAGGGCGUUUUAGUCAGAUGCUGCAGACCCGAAGCCAAGUGAUCUAUCCAUGGCCAAGUUGAAGUAAGUGUAAUAGCUUAUGGAGGACUGAACCCGUGCCCAUUGAAACGGGCUGGGAUGAGCUGUGGAUAGGGGUGAAAGGCCAAACAAACUUGGUGAUAGCUGGUUCUCUUCGAAAUAUAUUUAGGUAUAGCCUCAAGUGGUGGCAAGAGGGGGUAGAGCUCUGAUUGGACUAGGGCUGCUCGCCGCAGUACCAAACCCUGUCAAACUGCAAAUACCUCUUGUUCUAGCUUGGGAGUCAGGCGGUGGGUGAUAAAAUCAAUCGUCAAGAGGGAAACAACCCAGACUACCAACUAAGGUCCCCAAGUUCUAUUCUGAGUGGAAAAAGAUGUGUGGUUACUCAAACAACCAGGAGGUUGGCUUAGAAGCAGCCAUCCUUUAAAGAAAGCGUAACAGCUCACUGGUCUAGUGAUCAUGCGCUGAAAAUAUAACGGGGCUAAGAUAGACACCGAAGUUGUAGAUUGCACUUUUGUGCAGUGGUAGAAGAGCGUUCUGUGCAGCGUUGAAGGCAUACCGGUAAGGAGUGUUGGAGCGCACAGAAGUGAGCAUGCAGGAAUGAGUAGCGAUAAGAUGCGUAAGAAUCGCAUCCGCCGUAAAUCUAAGGUUUCCUACGCGAUGUUCGUCAUCGUAGGGUUAGUCGGGUCCUAAGCCAAGUCUGAAAAGGGUAGGCGAUGGCAAAUAGGUUAAUAUUCCUAUACCAAUUAGGGUGUGCGAUGGGAGGACGCAUGAAGUUAGGUGAGCCAGCGGAUGGAAGUGCUGGUCUAAGGGUCAUAGAUUAGGAGAGAGGCAAAUCCGCUCCUGUAUUCAAAACCUAAAUAGGCUCCUGGAGAUCUUCGGAUCAAAGGGAGAAUCACUGAUACUUUGUGCCAAGAAAAGUCUCUAAGUUUAGCUCUAAUUGUCCGUACCGCAAACCGACACAGGUAGAUGAGAUGAGUAUUCUAAGGCGCGUGGAUGAACUCUCUUUAAGGAACUCUGCAAACUGACACCGUAAGUUCGCGAUAAGGUGUGCCUACGCAAGUAGGUCUCAGCAAAGAGUCCCUCCCGACUGUUUACCAAAAACACAGCACUUUGCUAACUCGUAAGAGGAAGUAUAAGGUGUGACGCCUGCCCGGUGCUCGAAGGUUAAUUGAUGGGGUUAGCAGUGAUGCAAAGCUCUUGAUCGAAGCCCGAGUAAACGGCGGCCGUAACUAUAACGGUCCUAAGGUAGCGAAAUUCCUUGUCGGUUAAAUACCGACCUGCAUGAAUGGCGUAACGAGAUGGGAGCUGUCUCAAAGAGAGGUCCAGUGAAAUUGUAGUGGAGGUGAAAAUUCCUCCUACCCGCAGCAAGACGGAAAGACCCCGUGGACCUUUACUAUAGCUUAGCACUGCUAAUGGGAAUGCCAUGCGCAGGAUAGGUGGGAGGCUUUGAAGCAGAUACUUUGGUGUCUGUGGAGCCAUCCUUGAGAUACCACCCUUGGCGUUUUUGUUAGCUAACUGGCUAGAGUUAUCCUCUAGCAGGACAAUGUUUGGUGGGUAGUUUGACUGGGGCGGUCGCCUCCUAAAGAGUAACGGAGGCUUACAAAGGUUAGCUCAUGGCGGUUGGAAAUCGCCAGUUGCGUGUAAUGGCAUAAGCUAGCUUAACUGCAAGAGAGACAACUCAAGCAGAGACGAAAGUCGGUCAUAGUGAUCCGGUGGUUUCGUGUGGAAGAGCCAUCGCUCAAAGGAUAAAAGGUACCCCGGGGAUAACAGGCUGAUCUCCCCCAAGAGCUCACAUCGACGGGGAGGUUUGGCACCUCGAUGUCGGCUCAUCGCAUCCUGGGGCUGGAGCAGGUCCCAAGGGUAUGGCUGUUCGCCAUUUAAAGCGGUACGCGAGCUGGGUUCAGAACGUCGUGAGACAGUUCGGUCCCUAUCUGCUGUGGGCGUAGGAAAGCUGAGGAGAGCUGUCUUUAGUACGAGAGGACCGAGAUGGACAUGCCACUGGUGCACCAGUUGUUCUGCCAAGAGCACCGCUGGGUAGCUACGCAUGGUUGUGAUAAGAGCUGAAAGCAUCUAAGCUCGAAGCCAACUCCAAGAUAAGCUUUCCCUGAAGCUCGCAUGAAGACUACAUGUUUGAUAGGGUGGGUGUGUAAGUGCAGCAAUGCAUUAAGCUAACCACUACUAAUGGAGCGUUUGGCUUGUUUGCGUG